rnacentral:rRNA from 1 species
UACGAAGGGGGCAAGCGUUAAUCGGAAUUACUGGGCGUAAAGCGUGCGUAGGUGGUUUGUUAAGUCUGAUGUGAAAGCCCUGGGCUCAACCUGGGAAUGGCAUUGGAUACUGGCUUACUAGAGUGCGGUAGAGGGAUGCGGAAUUUCCGGUGUAGCGGUGAAAUGCGUAGAGAUCGGAAGGAACAUCUGUGGCGAAGGCGGCAUCCUGGACCAGCAGUGACCCUGAGGCACGAAAGCGUGGGGAGCAAACAGG